rnacentral:rRNA from 1 species
UACGGAGGGGGCAAGCGUUAUUCGGAAUUAUUGGGCGUAAAGGGCGCGUAGGCGGCUAGAUGUGUCAAAGGUGAAAUCCCUCGGCUCAACUGAGGAACUGCCUUUGAAACUGUCUGGCUUGAGGCCGGGAGAGGGUAGCGGAAUUCCCAGUGUAGCGGUGAAAUGCGUAGAUAUUGGGAGGAACACCAGUGGCGAAGGCGGCUACCUGGACCGGUUCUGACGCUGAGGAGCGAAAGCCAGGGGAGCAAACGGG